rnacentral:rRNA from 1 species
CGCCGGAAGACCAAGGGUUCCUGUCCAACGUUAAUCGGGGCAGGGUGAGUCGACCCCUAAGGCGAGGCCGAAAGGCGUAGUCGAUGGGAAACGGGUUAAUAUUCCCGUACUUGGUGUUACUGCGAAGGGGGGACGGAGAAGGCUAUGUUGGCCGGGCGACGGUUGUCCCGGUUUAAGCGUGUAGGUGUGUGUUCCAGGUAAAUCCGGUUCACUUUAACACUGAGGCGUGACGACGAGGCACUACGGUGCUGAAGCAACAAAUGCCCUGCUUCCAGGAAAAGCCUCUAAGCAUCAGGUAACAUCAAAUCGUACCCCAAACCGACACAGGUGGUCAGGUAGAGAAUACCAAGGCGCUUGAGAGAACUCGGGUGAAGGAACUAGGCAAAAUGGUGCCGUAACUUCGGGAGAAGGCACGCUGACACGUAGGUGAAGUGAUUUACUCAUGGAGCUGAAGUCAGUCGAAGAUACCAGCUGGCUGCAACUGUUUAUUAAAAACACAGCACUGUGCAAACACGAAAGUGGACGUAUACGGUGUGACGCCUGCCCGGUGCCGGAAGGUUAAUUGAUGGGGUCAGCGCAAGCGAAGCUCCUGAUCGAAGCCCCGGUAAACGGCGGCCGUAACUAUAACGGUCCUAAGGUAGCGAAAUUCCUUGUCGGGUAAGUUCCGACCUGCACGAAUGGCGUAAUGAUGGCCAGGCUGUCUCCACCCGAGACUCAGUGAAAUUGAACUCGCUGUGAAGAUGCAGUGUACCCGCGGCAAGACGGAAAGACCCCGUGAACCUUUACUAUAGCUUGACACUGAACAUUGAGCCUUGAUGUGUAGGAUAGGUGGGAGGCUUUGAAGCGUGGACGCCAGUCUGCGUGGAGCCGACCUUGAAAUACCACCCUUUAAUGUUUGAUGUUCUAACGUGGACCCGUUACCCGGGUUGCGGACAGUGUCUGGUGGGUAGUUUGACUGGGGCGGUCUCCUCCUAAAGAGUAACGGAGGAGCACGAAGGUUGGCUAAUCCUGGUCGGACAUCAGGAGGUUAGUGCAAUGGCAUAAGCCAGCUUGACUGCGAGCGUGACGGCGCGAGCAGGUGCGAAAGCAGGUCAUAGUGAUCCGGUGGUUCUGAAUGGAAGGGCCAUCGCUCAACGGAUAAAAGGUACUCCGGGGAUAACAGGCUGAUACCGCCCAAGAGUUCAUAUCGACGGCGGUGUUUGGCACCUCGAUGUCGGCUCAUCACAUCCUGGGGCUGAAGUAGGUCCCAAGGGUAUGGCUGUUCGCCAUUUAAAGUGGUACGCGAGCUGGGUUUAGAACGUCGUGAGACAGUUCGGUCCCUAUCUGCCGUGGGCGCUGGAGAACUGAGGGGGGCUGCUCCUAGUACGAGAGGACCGGAGUGGACGCAUCACUGGUGUUCGGGUUGUCAUGCCAAUGGCACUGCCCGGUAGCUAAAUGCGGAAGAGAUAAGUGCUGAAAGCAUCUAAGCACGAAACUUGCCCCGAGAUGAGUUCU